rnacentral:rRNA from 1 species
UACGUAGGGUGGCAAGCGAUACGUCGGAAUCACUAGGCGUAAAGCGCAGGUAGGAGGUUUAGUAAGUCUGUUGGUGAAAGCUCCCGGCUUAACUGGGAGAGGUCAACGGAAACUGCUAGGCUAGAGUGCGGUAGAGGUAGCUGGAAUUCCCGGUGUAGCGGUAGAAAUGCGUAGAUAUCAGGAGGAACACCGGUGGCGAAGGCAAUCCCCUGGACCUGUACUGACGCUCAUGCACGAAAGGCGUGGGGAGCAAACAGG